rnacentral:rRNA from 1 species
UACGGGGGGGGCUAGCGUUGUUCGGAAUUACUGGGUGUAAAGGGCGCGUAGGCGGUCUGCUAAGUUGGAUGUGAAAACUCUGGGCUUAACCCAGAGCCUGCAUUCAAUACUGACAGGCUAGAGUUCUGGAGGGGAUAGCGGAAUUCCUGGUGUAGCGGUGAAAUGCGUAGAUAUCAGGAGGAACACCUAUUGCGAAGGCAGCUCGCUGGGACGUUACUGACGCUGAGACGCGAAAGCGUGGGGAGCAAACAGG